rnacentral:rRNA from 1 species
ACUCCUACGGGAGGCAGCAGUGGGGAAUAUUGCACAAUGGGCGCAAGCCUGAUGCAGCCAUGCCGCGUGUGUGAAGAAGGCCUUCGGGUUGUAAAGCACUUUCAGUUGUGAGGAAAGGUUAGUCGCUAAUAUCGGCUAGCUGUGACGUUAGCAACAGAAGAAGCACCGGCUAACUCCGUGCCAGCAGCCGCGGUAAUACGGAGGGUGCAAGCGUUAUCCGGAAUCAUUGGGUUUAAAGGGUCCGCAGGCGGACGUAUAAGUCAGUGGUGAAAGCCUACAGCUUAACUGUAGAACUGCCAUUGAUACUGUAUGUCUUGAAUUCGGUCGAAGUGGGCGGAAUGUGUCAUGUAGCGGUGAAAUGCAUAGAUAUGACACAGAACACCGAUAGCGAAGGCAGCUCACUAGGCCUGAAUUGACGCUCAGGGACGAAAGCGUGGGGGAGCGAACAGGAUUAGAUACCCUGGUAGGAC